GCAACUGGCAACUGUGUAGGGAAGAAACCAGACAAACACACAUGGGAGGCAAGGAAACAUGUAAAGAGACCACAGCAACUGACAGGACCAAAGGUGCCAAAGUACACCUGUCAACCUUUGUUCUAUAAUCUACCUGAGGCAGCAGAUAAGAACCCGAAGAGAGCUUUGGAGGAAAGGAAACAGGGCUCCAACCCCAG
rnacentral:lncRNA from 1 species